rnacentral:lncRNA from 1 species
GGGUCAUAAAAACUUUAAAUGUCUUCAGUCACAUUUGAGCUCAGAUAUUUCACCACAGCUUUAUCUAUCAUGCCAUCAUCCCGUCGCUUAGCAACAAGCAUCAUUAAAAACAGUAUCAGGAAGAAUGCCUGGAUUGGAAAGACUUGUCAUCUCCAGAUUUCUUUUUUCCAGAUAUGCGAGGGAAGGCAAACUAGGAGUGAACCUUUCAUGACUUCAUGGAAUAGAGUUCCUCUUCCCAGGUGUUUGUGA